ACGGGGGGUGCAAGCGUUGUUCGGAAUCAUUGGGCGUAAAGCGCGCGCAGGCGGCUUGGUAAGUCAGAUGUGAAAUCCCUGGGCUUAACCCAGGAAGUGCAUUUGAUACUGCCUCGCUAGAGUACGGGAGAGGAAAGUGGAAUUCCUGGUGUAGAGGUGAAAUGCGUAGAUAUCAGGAGGAACACCAGUGGCGAAGGCGGCUUCCUGGCCGGCAACUGACGCUCAGGUGCGAAAGCGGGGGGAGCAAACAG
rnacentral:rRNA from 1 species